rnacentral:snRNA from 1 species
GUGCUCUCUUCAGCAGCACAUAUACUAAAAUUGGAAUGAUACAGAGAAGAUUAGCAUGACCCCUGUGCAAGGAUGACAUGCAAAUUUGUGAAGUAUUCCAUAUUUUA